rnacentral:lncRNA from 1 species
AUGAAACGAAGGACUAGAGCCAUCACUCGGACGAGCUUGUGCCAUGAAGAAAAACGCUCGAAAACCGGAAGAUCAGAAGGAGAAUCCUUAGAAGGAGUGUUCUUUCGAGCCAGGAGGACUACAGUCCUGGGUUUUGCCGUCUCUGGUAUCGGUUCUUGCGGAAGUGGAAGAGGCAGUGACGGCCAUUUGUCUGAGCUUUCUUGGAGCCACGGUGGGCCGUGCCACCAAAGGCUGUAAUCUACUAGUUGCGCUGGAGAGAUCCCACGUGAAGCGGGGUCUGCAGGGUUGUCACGGCUAGGCACGUGGUGCCAAGUCAUUGUUGGAAUCUCUUGUUGGAUGAAGGCAGCCCGGUUAGCCACGAAGGUCUUUAACCGGUGUGGAGGUGUUUGGAUCCAUUGUAAAACUGUGGUCGAAUCGGUCCAGGCAUGGAGACUGGAGAUUUGGUAGUGUUUUUGCAAUCUGGCGACGAUAUAAGUCAUGAGGCUGGUUAGCAGGUGGGCACCUGAUAGUUCCAAACGUGGCAGAGUAAUUUUACUCAGGGCGCUACUUUAGUCUUCGCGACAUAAAGAUGAGGCAUACCCGAUGGUUGAUCUGGCCUUAUGUAGACGCAAGCAGCAUAGCCCAAUUCCGAUGCAUCACAAAAACCGUGGAGCUGGAUGGGAAUGUCUACAUCGCAGACGUAUCGCUGAAUCUUUACAUUACUCAGAGAUUUGAGGAGUUCGAGAAAUCCAGCCCAGCGCGUUGAAAUGUCUUCAGGGAGAGGGUCGUCCCACCCUAGCUGCAAGAGCCAAAGUUGCUGCAUAAUACACUUGCAGAAGAAUACCACGGGGCUGAGAAACCCGAGUGGAUCGAAGAUUGAGGCGAUGACAGACAGGACCCCUCGUUUUGUGGUAGGCUUCGAGUUGGGCUGUAUGCGAUAGGUGAAGACGUCAGGACUGGGAAGCCAUUGUAGGCCCAUCACAGAGUACGACGGUGCUUGGCCCUCCCAAGUCACUGGGAUUUCAAGAAGGUCAGCCGGGAGAUCGCUCAGGAGACCUGGGUCGUUGCUCAUCCAUUUUCGCAGAAGGAAGUUACCCUUUUCAAGAAGUG